rnacentral:rRNA from 1 species
ACACGGCCCAAACUCCUACGGGAGGCAGCAGUAGGGAAUCUUCCACAAUGGACGAAAGUCUGAUGGAGCAACGCCGCGUGAGUGAAGAAGGGUUUCGGCUCGUAAAACUCUGUUGUUAAAGAAGAACAUAUCUGAGAGUAACUGUUCAGGUAUUGACGGUAUUUAACCAGAAAGCCACGGCUAACUACGUGCCAGCAGCCGCGGUAAUACGUAGGUGGCAAGCGUUGUCCGGAUUUAUUGGGCGUAAAGCGAGCGCAGGCGGUUUUUUAAGUCUGAUGUGAAAGCCUUCGGCUCAACCGAAGAAGUGCAUCGGAAACUGGGAAACUUGAGUGCAGAAGAGGACAGUGGAACUCCAUGUGUAGCGGUGAAAUGCGUAGAUAUAUGGAAGAACACCAGUGGCGAAGGCGGCUGUCUGGUCUGUAACUGACGCUGAGGCUCGAAAGUAUGGGUAGCAAACAGGAUUAGAUACCCUGGUAGUCCAUACCGUAAACGAUGAAUGCUAAGUGUUGGAGGGUUUCCGCCCUUCAGUGCUGCAGCUAACGCAUUAAGCAUUCCGCCUGGGGAGUACGGCCGCAAGGCUGAAACUCAAAGGAAUUGACGGGGGCCCGCACAAGCGGUGGAGCAUGUGGUUUAAUUCGAAGCUACGCGAAGAACCUUACCAGGUCUUGACAUACUAUGCAAAUCUAAGAGAUUAGACGUUCCCUUCGGGGACAUGGAUACAGGUGGUGCAUGGUUGUCGUCAGCUCGUGUCGUGAGAUGUUGGGUUAAGUCCCGCAACGAGCGCAACCCUUAUUAUCAGUUGCCAGCAUUAAGUUGGGCACUCUG